rnacentral:rRNA from 1 species
UCCCAAGGGUAUGGCUGUUCGCCAUUUAAAGCGGUACGUGAGUUGGGUUCAGAACGUCGUGAGACAGUUCGGUCCCUAUCUGCCGUGGGUGUAGGAAUAUUGACAGGAUCUGUCCCUAGUACGAGAGGACCGGGAUGGACGUAUCUCUGGUGGACCUGUUGUCGUGCCAACGGCAUAGCAGGGUAGCUAUAUACGGACGGGAUAACCGCUGAAGGCAUCUAAGCGGGAAACCCACCUGAAAACGAGUAUUCCCUAUCAGAGCCGUGGAAGACCACCACGUUGAUAGGCCGGGUGUGGAAGUGCGGCAACGCAUGCAGCUUACCGGUACUAAUAGCUCGAUCGACUUGAUCACUCCCAUUU